GAUUCGUCACGGCGAAGAGGGCCGAGGAGGCCCGACCUAACACAGAAUAGGCCUGGGUUUAGCGGCUGUGAGGAGCCGGAGCCGCCGCAGCGACCGAGGAAGUGGCGGGAGGUGCCGAGCCUUGCGGAGGGGCGGUGGGGGCCGCGGUGGGAGACGGCGGAUGGCGCUCAGCGCGAGGCCGCGGAACCACUGUGGCAGCAAGCAGUUCGGCCAGACUCCCGCUGAGCCCGCUCCUGGAGGGGCCCUCCCCGACUCCGGUCUUGCUUUCCUUUAGGCUGUGGGUCAGAGUCUACACUUCACUAAACCUGGGAUGGAGGCGUGGAGGACUUGCUUCGCGGCGUUUGCGUCCUCGCAGGCGCCUCGCAGGGCUUCCUGCCCUCACGGCGGGGGAGUAGCUUUGGCGAAAAUCAGCACGAGUUCUGCAGUUUUUCCAAGCGCUUUUAGGGUGUAAUCGUCCCAGGUUUCUAAGCCAAGGCCCGGAGAGUUGACCCCCUCGCAACAGCUUGUGUGUCCUUGCAGCGCCGCGGGUGCCACCUGGUCUCCGCCUCAGCGCUGCCUCGGCUCCUUCGGUUCCCACCAGCGGGAACGACCGUCCCCACUUUCAGCUUAAACUCAUCUGUCCUUCUGGAUCCAGCUCAGAGGUCUCUUUGUGAUGCCCUCCUGGAACUUCCCCCCUAGUAAUCCUUCCUUUGUAUUCCCGUGGCUCUUUGAUAAUAAUGGUUGGAGUCCUGAACCCGACCCUUUGUAUCGGACCGUGUUUGUCAUCUCCAGUGCUUUAUGAAGGCCUUGAAAGCAAGGUUCAGCCGUCUGUAUUGGUCAUCUUCCCAUUGCCAGUGCCUACGAAGGGCUUGACCCAUUCAUUGUUAGACGCUCAGUAAGUGUGUAUUGAGGCAGCCCUCUGUGCCACUCCAGGGCUCUUUCCACUAAAUCAUGAGUAUGUUGGUUUACCAGAUGGAAUGAGUAGCCUCUUCUUUGGAUACAUAAACACCCGAUGGAUAUUGUGGGUCACUGUGGAGGGAGAAUGAACGUAUGGGAUCCCUGACCUGUGGUUACUGGAAAACAGUUGACAUUUAGAGAGAGGCUGAAUUCUUGGGCUUCCCGUAGCCCCCAUCCUGAGUGUGCCAACAGGGACUAGAAGCAUCUCUAGUCUGCAAAGCGAGGAACAAGUGAUACUCUGUCCAAUUUUUCCAAUAUUGUUAUACUCAUGAAUAGAGAUUAAUGAAAUUGAAGAGCAUAUUCAAGAGAAAGACUAAAGGAGAAGUCGUCUGCCCCGUGGACAGGCAGCUUGAGUGGUGCUUGAGAAAAUGUACAUGAAAUUGCUUGUUAAAAAAUAUUCACGCCUGUAAUCCCAGCUCUUUUUAAAAUUGCAUCUCAUUCCCCAACCCCCGGUGUCUGUUCAUGGCCUGUGCUUUACUUUUUCUGUAGCACUUGUCGCUACCUAACAUACUAUACUUCUUAUGAAUUUAUUUUGUUUUGUCUUUUUCUUCUUCUUUUCUUUUUUUUUUUGAGACGGAGUUUCGCUCUUAUUGCCCAGGCUGGAGUGCAAUGGCGCGAUCUUGGCUCACUACGACCUCCGUCUCCCGAGUUCAAGUGAUUCUCCUGCCUCAGCCUCCCAAGUAGCUGGGAUUACGGCAUGUGCCACCACACCCUGCUAAUUUUGUAUUUUUAGUAGAGACGAGGUUUCACCAUGUUGGUCAGGCUGGUCUUGGACUCCUGACCUCAAGUGAUCCACCGCCUCGGCCUCCCAAAGUGCUGGAUUACAGGCAUGAGCCACCGCACCCAGCCGUCUUUUUUUUCCCAUCAGGGUGGAGAUUUUGACAUCUGGAACAGUACACAGCACAUUUAGAUGCUCAAUACUUGUGGAGUAAAUAAAUGAAUGACUCAUUUUCUUCGCUUGGUUCUUUCUCUACCAAAGAUUUGAAAAAUUAAGAAACACCAGCCUGGCAACAUAGGGAGACCCCAUCUCUUAAAAAAAAAAUUAGCCAGGUGCGGUGGUGCACAUUUGUGGUCUCAGUUAUUUGGGACGCUGAGGUGGGAGGAUCGCUUGAGCCUGGGAGGUCAAGGCUGCAGUGAGCCAUGAUCAUGCCACUGCACUCCACCCUGGGUGACAGAGGCCCUUUCUAAAAAAAAAAAAAAAGAAAAGAAAGAAGGAUAUAGGCAAGAGAUAAUAGAAAAAUAAUCUGUUCUCUAGUCCUGAAGAAACUAAAACUGAAGAGUGAAUUAUCCAGCAAGAUGGACUUUACUUAUUAUGAGUUUUUUUCCCCCAAAGCAAACACCAGAACAUAUGCUCUUGCCUUUAGAAGGAUAUUUAUGGUAACUACAGGACAGAUGUUUGGAGUUGUGAUUAUUCCCAGAAAAUUUGGGAUACAGCAUCAAUAUGACUAUUUAAACUAAAUAUAACUAUAAGGGUAGUUGGGAGCACUCACGUGGGACCAGUGGUUAACCCCAGAGAUAAUCUUAGGCCCAAUUAAGACCUAACUUAGGCCUUAGUUUUCAUUCUGGCAGCAAGAUCCAGAAACGUGGCCUGCUUUCCCCUCUGACACUACUCAUACUUUUUUGGGGUUCUUCUUUCCCCAAGACAGGGAAGCCAAAACUAAGUAAGCUAAGGUUCUAGUCCAGGUGUCUUUGAGUUCUUUCCAUUGUUCUGUGGGAAGAAACGGGUGAUGGAGACAGAGUUAGGGGUAGGACUGGGAAGAAAGGAGAAAAAAGGAGAAAAUAAGACAGAAUAAGGAAAAACCUGAAGUCCUUGGACACCCAGUAGUCCAUGAAUAGGCUCUAAGUGAUCUAUGAACCCUUUAAAAUUAUACUCAAUUUUUAUGGGCUUUUUUCCUGAUAGGUUAAUUCUUUCAUGAGAUUUUCAAAGAGGUGCGUGACUCAAGAAAGAUUAUGAACCAACCACUGAGCCAUGGAGUUUGUAGUAUGUUCUUUUGAAGCUUUUAUAAUGGAUUUUUUUUUUCUUAAACAAGGGAAAGCGAGAGCAAAGCUUUACUUGACCCAAAUAGCCUAUGAAAGUCUGAUUAUAGACAACAUGAUGAAACAAACUAAUUUUCUCAGCUGUUUCUGUGAGAGCAGAAGGAGUUAUGGGUAUUCUGUUUUCUGUAGCUGGAAAUAGUUGUGAAAUAUUGAAGUUUAGCAGCUUUCCAGGACAGAGUGAUCCACACUGUUUUACAGAAUUUAAAAAGCACGGUUUGCUUUGAGAACCCUCUAUGUUGCCCUCAAAAUAACCUGGAGGAUUUGGGACAUGAGUGUUGCCCCAUGGUGUGGAAAAGGAUGAACGUUGAAAACAGGGUAGAGCUGGAGAAUCUGGGUUGUGGGGUCUAUUAUCCACUGAUAAUAUUGGGAGUCUAGGGCACAGUAGCCAAACGAGAUUGUUGCAGGCCGUUAUCUGGGCUGCCUCCUGUUUUUGUAAUAAACCCUUAUUUGGACACAAGCACCUUCAUUUAUUUACGUAUUGUCUUUGGUUGCUUGUGGUUACAAGGGAAGGGUUGUGUAGUUGUUACAGGGAUCCUAUGGCCUGAAAAGCCUAAAAUAUUUGCUCUCUGGGCUUCGAUGGAAAAGGUUGCCAAGCCUGGUCUAGAGUCUAAGCAUGUGAGGGAAACUUGGAAAGCCUUGUACUGAUUUUCACAUAUACCUUAUUUUAGAGCCUUUAUUUGUCAUAUGCCCACAAAUAUUGGCAAUCUGUGUGUACAUGCCGGCCAUAACUUGUAAACAUAGAACCAAAUUCUGCCCUGUGGACAAACUUUCCUUUGAUUUCAUGUGUUGAUAAUUUGAGUAACGUGUAUGCAUAUUGUUUAACUAAAAUUUAAUUUUGGCUCAUGUAUCAUAAUACAUUUCCAAUGGAAACUUUCAAAUUAAUGUAAGCAUUUUUUGACUUCAGAGAUUUUUUAUUUUUGAGACAGGGUCUCACUCUGUUGCCUAAAGCUGGAGUGCAGUGGUGCAAUCUAGGCUCACUGCAGUCUUGACCUCCUGGGUUCAGGCAAUUCUCCCACCUCAGCUUCCUGAGUAGCUCAGACUACAGGUGCACACUACCACACUGGGUUAAGUUUUUGAUUUUUUUUUUUUUUGGUAAAGACGAGGGCUCACUGUGUUGCCCAGGCUGGUCUCAAACUCCUGGGCUCAAGCGAUCCUCCUGCCUCAGCCUCCCUAAGUGUUGAGAUUACAGGUGUGAGCCACCAUGCCCGGCCAACAGAUUUUUAAAAAAUUCUAAAAACGUAAGAAAACAAAUUGAAGGACAAACUGAACUUUGCCAAUACAAAGAUCUCUAGCAAAUGAAUAAGAAAUAUGCUUAUGUGCAGUAUUAGUUGUAUAUUUCUGCAUAACAAAUUAUCCCAAAAUUUAGUGGCUCAAAAUAAUAAUCACUUAUUAUCUUUAGAGAACUAUUUUUUUUUUUUUUUGAGACACAGGGUCUCACUCUGUCACCCAGGCUGGAGUUCGGUGGCAUGAUCUUGGCUCACUGUAUCUUCCACCUCCUGGGCUCAAACAAUUCUUCCACUUCAGCAUCCUGAAUAGUUGGGACUACUGGUGUGUCACCAUAUUCGGUUAAUUUAAAAUUUUUUAAUAGAGACGAGGCCUCACUGUAUUGCCCAGGCUGGGCUUGAACUCCUGAGCUCUAGCAAUCCUUCUGCCUAGGCCUCUCAAAGUGUUGGGAUUAUAGGUGUGAGCCACUGUGCCUGGCAUAGAGAACAUUUUUAUACUUUAGACACUGUGCUUGGCAUAGAGAACAUUUUUUGUACUUUAAAAGCUAUCAUGACAGAACAGUUCAAAUUGGGUGACUCACUGGGAAAGAAUAACUGUUCUGGAAGCAAUUGAAAAAUUAAAAAUAGUAUCUUUACCUGUUGUGUUUUGAACUAUUAAUCAUUGUCCGCUGUAAUUUCCCCCACACAUUCUUUAAAGACAAUUUUCUUCCAAAUAGUACUGUAUAUCUGAGCAGUGCUUUAACAAAUAUUUUUGCUUGUAUAUUAUUUCAAACAACUGUAAGGUAGGUAGAGUAGGAAUUAUUAUCCAGCUUUACCUUUUCCUUUGUUUUCAAGUGUAAAACUUGAGGCCUAGGAACUUAAAGUGGCCCCUCCUGGUUACAUGGUUAGUGACAGAGCCAGGGUUAGGAUCCUACAAUUGUUAGUAACUGGAAUUACUCUUUAUUUUUGUAUUUUUUUAUGGAAGCAUGCAUUUGAAACAUUUCAGAGAGAUUAAAGAAUAUUAAUUUCUACUCAUGUGUAAAGCAAGGAUAAUAUUAUUCAUUUUGUAGGAUUG
rnacentral:lncRNA from 1 species